rnacentral:piRNA from 1 species
GAAGGGAGAAUCAGUCAGGAAAUGAGGUGU